rnacentral:misc_RNA from 1 species
GCGAUAUUGAACUUGCAAAGGUAUUUUCUCAGGCCUCCUACAAUAUUAUAACCCACACUUGUCUCUGUUGAAUUGAGGCCCAUGUUUCUUCAUACUUUAUAUCAUUAUUGGUAAUGUUAUUCCUUAUACAUUCCUUUGCAAGCCUUGUGAUAGCUCUUGAUAUCCUUUUGAAGUAUAUUCGUUUAUGGUUCUCUUUAUUAUUUGCAGGUUGAAGGUAAUGACAGAUAU